AAGACCUUACUUCACAGGAUCAUUUCUGUAGUAAGUGUCACAAGAUCGCCUUACAAAAUAUCAACGGAGUUGAACCACGAUGAUGAGUUUCCCUUCUUCUCAGAGCAGGAAAACAACUGGGAAAAGUGCGCACACUUUUUCCAGUUAUUGUUGACUGUUUCAGCUGCUUUAGCUGAGGGAGGAAGGGUUACUGAGUGGU
rfam:Trichuris suis scaffold430.1, whole genome shotgun sequence.